UUCCGGUUGAUCCUGCCGGACCCGACUGCUAUUUGGGUGAGGAUAAACCAUGCGAGUUGUAUGGGAUACCUAAAUUUCCCAUAGCAAACUGCUUAGUAACACAUGAUCAACUUACCCUAUGGAGAAAUAUAACCUCGGGAAACUGAGGAUAAUGCUUCAUAGUUGAAUAGGCUUGGAAAAGUUUUUCAAUGAAAGGGAUAAGAAAAAUGGUUCUUAUCUGCCAUAGGAUAGGAUCGUGCUCGAUUAUGGUUGUUGGUGAGGUAACGGCUCACCAAGCCGAUAAUCGAUAGGGGCCGUGAGAGCGGGAGCCCCAAGAUGGGUACUGAGACAGCGACCCAGGCCUUACGAGGCGCAGCAGGUACGAAACCUCCGCAAUACACGAAAGUGUGACGGGGUUACCCAAAGUGUUCUUAUAGAACUGUGGCAGGUGAGUAAUGUCCCCUGCUAGAAAGGAGAGGGCAAGGCUGGUGCCAGCCGCCGCGGUAAAACCAGCUCUUCAAGUGGUCGGGAUAAUUAUUGGGCUUAAAGUGUCCGUAGCCGGUUUAGUAAGUUCCUGGUAAAAUCAGGUAGCUUAACUAUCUGCAUGCUAGGAAUACUGCUAUACUAGAGGGCGGGAGAGGUCUGAGGUACUACAGGGGUAGGGGUGAAAUCUUAUAAUCCUUGUAGGACCACCAGUGGCGAAGGCGUCAGACUGGAACGCGCCUGACGGUGAGGGACGAAAGCCAGGGGAGCGAACCGGAUUAGAUACCCGGGUAGUCCUGGCCGUAAACGAUGCAUACUAGGUGAUGAUACGGCCAUGAGCCGUGUCAGUGCCGUAGGGAAACCGUUAAGUGUGCCGCCUGGGAAGUACGGUCGCAAGGCUAAAACUUAAAGGAAUUGGCGGGGGAGCACCACAAGGGGUGAAGCCUGCGGUUCAAUUGGAUUCAACGCCGGA
rnacentral:rRNA from 1 species